CGGGUGAGUAAUGCUUAGGGAUCUGCCUCUGUGUGGGGGAUAACUAUUGGAAACGAUAGCUAAUACCGCAUAAUGUUUACGGACCAAAGGGGGCGUUUGCUCCCGCGCAGAGAGGAACCUAAGUGAGAUUAGCUAGUUGGUAAUGUAAUGGCUUACCAAGGCGACGAUCUCUAGCUGUUCUGAGAGGAAGAUCAGCCACACUGGGACUGAGACACGGCCCAGACUCCUACGGGAGGCAGCAGUGGGGAAUAUUGCACAAUGGGGGGAACCCUGAUGCAGCCAUGCCGCGUGUGUGAAGAAGGCCUUCGGGUUGUAAAGCACUUUCAGUUGUGAGGAAAGGUUAGUAGUUAAUACCUGCUAGCUGUGACGUUAGCAACAGAAGAAGCACCGGCUAACUCCGUGCCAGCAGCCGCGGUAAUACGGAGGGUGCGAGCGUUAAUCGGAAUUACUGGGCGUAAAGCGCACGCAGGCGGUUUGUUAAGCUAGAUGUGAAAGCCCCGAGCUCAACUUGGGAUGGUCAUUUAGAACUGGCAGACUAGAGUCUUGGAGAGGGGGAGUGGAAUUUCUAGUGUAGCGGUUGAAAUGCGUA
rnacentral:rRNA from 1 species